GAGUUUGAUCCUGGCUCAGAUUGAACGCUGGCGGCAUGCCUUACACAUGCAAGUCGAACGGCAGCACGGGAGCUUGCUCCUGGUGGCGAGUGGCGAACGGGUGAGUAAUGCAUCGGAACGUAUCCUGGAGUGGGGGAUAACGUAGCGAAAGUUACGCUAAUACCGCAUAUUCUGUGAGCAGGAAAGCGGGGGACCUUCGGGCCUCGCGCUCUUGGAGUCGGCCGAUGUCGGAUUAGCUAGUUGGUGAGGUAAAGGCUCACCAAGGCGACGAUCCGUAGCAGGUCUGAGAGGAUGAUCUGCCACACUGGAACUGAGACACGGUCCAGACUCCUACGGGAGGCAG
rnacentral:rRNA from 1 species